rnacentral:lncRNA from 1 species
UUUCAGAGCGGGAGAUAAAGGGUUGCCCAGAAGGGUGGUGAGUGGAAUGGCUGAUAUAAACAACGGGGGCGCGAUGAAAUACACAGGAGGGCUGCUAGUCACAUAUGGGGCGGGUGCCGAGGGCCCUUGACUAAGGGAGGCUUCCUGCACGGGUGACACCCAAGCGGAGUCCUGACGACCUGCGUCAGAAGUAGCCAGGCGAGGAGGAGGGGAAAGGAAUCCACGUCCCGAGCAGAGAGGCAGCGUUCCCUACACAGCACAGGACACGGUCCGCGCACAGAAGCCGCAGGAGACGCAGGCACAGGGGCUGGGGAGAAUCCUUGCUGGGCCCUCGCCGCCUCCCUCUGCCGGGUGUCUGGUGCCAGCCUCCUGCCUGGCAGAGGAACUCCAGCCCCUGCUCCCGGAAGCCCCUCCAGGCCUUCGGCUUCCCUGACUGGGCAUGGGCCCCUCGUCCCCUCGUCCCCUCGGGUACGGGGCCGGUCUCCCCGCCCGCGGGCGGCGAAGUAAAGGCCCAGCGCAGCCCGCGCUCCUGCCCUGGGGCCUCGUCUUUCUCCAGGAAAACGUGGACCGCUCUCCGCCGACAGGUCUCUUCCACAGACCCCUGUCGCCUUCGCCCCCGGUCUCUUCCGGUUCUGUCUUUUCGCUGGCUCGAUACGAACAAGGAAGUCGCCCCCAGCGGAGCCCCGGCUCCCCCAGGCAGAGGCGGCCCCGGGGGCGGAGUCAACGGCGGAGGCCACGCCCUCUGUGAAAGGGCGGGGCAUGCAAAUUCGAAAUGAAAGCCCGGGAACGCCGGAAGAAGCACGGGUGUAAGAUUUCCCUUUUCAAAGGCGGAGAAUAAGAAAUCAGCCCGAGAGUGUAAGGGCGUCAAUAGCGCUGUGGACGAGACAGAGGGAAUGGGGCAAGGAGCGAGGCUGGGGCUCUCACCGCGACUUGAAUGUGGAUGAGAGUGGGACGGUGACGGCGGGCGCGAAGGCGAGCGCAUCGCUUCUCGGCCUUUUGGCUAAGAUCA